CGGGAUGUGGCUCAGCUUGGCUAGAGCGCAGCGUUCGGGACGCUGAGGCCGGAGGUUCGAAUCCUCUCAUCCCGA
rnacentral:tRNA from 2 species